UUUUCAUGCAUUCUCAUUCAAAAAUCACCAUUAAGUGUGCAUUUACUUUCCAUCACAUUUCAAACUACCCACUAAGUUGUAACUUGCAUCUACCUAGUGGCUAUUGUUCUUUGAUCUUCCAUCUUCCCAAAACCCUAACCUUCCACUAUAAAUUGGGAGAAACCUCUCUCUAGCAGAAUCUCCUUCAAAACCCUUCCUAAACCUUCUCU
rnacentral:lncRNA from 1 species